AUGUUUUUUCAAGAUAUCUAUGUACAAGACCACAAAUUCAGUUUGGCAGGACCCGGGCGAUGGAACGCUAGCGCCCCGGGGUUCUCUAGGGGAUCCAGCCUUGCAGACAUCUUGCUCUCCCUGGGCAUCCUGUGCAGGACCGCCCGGGUCCCCCCUCCCCUUAAAGACGCAGCGCUGCAUUCCCUAAUCCGGCCCGGAGGCGUGCAUGAUCCGCACGGACCCCUUCCAGUCAAAAGCCAAAGCUUUCACAAAAUGCUGAGGCUCAGAAGCAGCCUUAAAAUAACUCGCCGCAGGCGUCCAUUAGCUUAAAAGAGUAAAAGCGAGUUUGCUUUUUUCCCCAGUAAUGUAAACUUUUUAAAAUAAAUGUGAUCUGCCAAGACCUGCGUUCUUAGGUCCGUGUUUCUCCCGGACUGUUUGCUUCUCCCCGGGCAGGAGGCGCGUUGAUGUUCCCAAGGGGAAAUGCCUGCAGUCAGAGCUGCUGGAGCUUCUAACCUGUUGCAAAUGCGGAAUCAACCGGUGUGUGUUGCUCUUGGUUUGGAUUUCCGCGUUUGGGAAGAGGUUCCCAUUAUUAGUAGUAGUAUUAUUACUACUACUACCCUAAGCAUCACACCCUAACCAGCCAUAACAGUAAUAGUGGCUCACACUUAAACAACUUUUUACGGUCGGCGGAAUAUUUUAUAUUCUUAAACAAUACUGUGGAAGUAUCUUGCAUAUACACAUUUGUGUUAGUUCGACUCCCCAUUAUAUUGUAAGUUGCUCGAGACACUCAAUUGUUUUUGUGUUUCCUGUAUCAAACAGGUUGGCUGGUUGAUGUUCACGAUAACUUAUUAUAAGGAACCGCUACUGGUUACAAAUGCACGAAAUUAUUACUUAUUGUUCAACUGACUGACAAUAGUUAAAAUAAGGGUGGUGUUAGGGAUGAAUGAAAGAGAGGAAUGAUGAACCCGGAAGAACAAGGAAAGGUUAAAGGACUAAAGAUCUCAGAACAAUUUGUGAAUGACCACCAUUUUUUAAGCUCUCAUUAUGUGCCAAAUGGGCAACUGGGUGAUGAAGUCAUUAGAGACCUAGGCUUAGAACCAAUUGGAAUUGGAUUCAUCAAUUUUGAUCAUAGGCAUUAAUUAGCUGUGUAAUUCUGGUCAAAUUGCUUAACUCUACCUCAGUUUCCUCAGAUGCAAAAUGAACUGGAGGAAUUGCAAAUUAUUUCAGUAUUGCCACAAGGAAAAUUCAGAUGGGGACAUGAGGAACUGGAUACAACUGAACAACAGCAACAAGAGCAUGUGCCAGAUGCCUGGGAUACAAAUAAAGG
rnacentral:lncRNA from 1 species